rnacentral:tRNA from 1 species
GGCAAGGUGGCCGAGUGGUCUAAGGCGCACGGUUCAGGUUACUUUAUCAUAAAUCUCCGUGUCAUUAAUUUGGCGUGGGUUCGAAUCCCACCCUUGUCA